rnacentral:tRNA from 1 species
GGUUUCGUGGUGUAGUGGUUAUCACGUCUGCUUUACACGCAGAAGGUCGCGAGUUCGAGCCUCGCCGCAACCU